GAAAACCUUCCAUUUGGAUUUUUUUUUUUCCCUAUAUUUUCUUUAUUUCUAAGCUUGUGUUGCAUUUUAUGGGAAUCUCAGAACAGAAGAUGGGGCUGCUUCAUUUUGCAUAAUAGUUACUGUUGUUAAGUAUUAUUGUUGACUAUGCAUGAUAAAGGGAGGGAGGAGAAAUUUGGUUGCUGAUUGAUUGGCUAUAUACUUGUUUGAAAGAGAUGGAAAAUUCUGAUAAUGUUGGUGUAAUGGCAAAGUCCUGUUGAGGGGCAAACUUUGGUGUGAAAUCUGAAGCAAAUUCGAAAGUUAGGUUGUGUUCUAUAUUUUGCUAUUCGAACUCUUGAUUCUCAAAAGUGUUAACUGUUUUGGUCAUGAUUUACUUUCAAAGUCUGGACUGUUAAAGAUACAAGAUAACUGCACCAGUCAUCUGCUGUCACAAGACAAGGGGGGAAAAAGAAUACUUUUUUCUUUUUUAUUGGACAGAAUCUUUUGUGGGAAGAGAGAACAAGAAAGGAGCACAGAACAAGAAAUUCAUGAGGGUAUGCUGAAGUCUUAAGAAAUUGUAUCUAUGUGAAGUCAUAAUCUUCUUAAUGCAAGAUGGCUAACCCAUGGAUGUUAGGUUUUGUGACUAAGAUGACUAGUUUCACUUAUUUUUGAAUUUUGAGUGUCACAACUUCAAUUUGGCAAAUGUCGAACACUUGCUUUGAUUUGAUGACAAUCCAACGCUUCUCAUAAACAGUAACUGUCCAAACAUCCAGUAUCCAUCGAGGGAGAAGAAAAUCAACCGUCUCAAUCUCCUUAUGAACAACACCAAGUGGUAUGUCUCCAAUUGGAAUCUAUUCUUGGGGCUCUGCAUCUUCAAUCGGAUCAUCAAUCAAUUCCUUUUGUGACUGCACAGUAGGUGUCGCUUUCACUGGCUUUAAAGAGCUAUCACACUACAAUCCUUUCAAGACAAUAGUUUGCAGUAGAUGGGAGGCUUUAACGUACAUGAGUUCCCUUCAUGAUCGAGGACAACUUUCCAUUCUUCCAUCCAAGACUGACCAACUAUGGUGACAUGUUUGGAAGAAGCAAAUGCAUUAUCUAACACUAUUAAAGUAGGAAGAAAUUGAAAACUCCAUAAAACCAUCACCUUUGAAUUCAACAAUGAUCUCAUUUGCCUUGACAACAUUACCAUGGACUGCAAAAAGAAAUUCGCACUUCGCCCUGACAGAGAAGAUGUCUUUCCAUUGGAAAAAGAAACUUUAAUCUUGAAAACAAAGGUAUCCAUGGCUAGUUUUGGCUCUAAUACCAAUUAGUGGGGAUCAAUCAGAGGAUUACCGAUAGUGGGUUUUCUCUUAAGAUAGAAGGAAAGAAAGGGAAUCACAAUGGUUGGUAAGGGAAAUCGCAAGGAUAAGGAGAAGGGAGAAGUCCUGGGGAAGAGAGGAGAGAGAACAAAAGAGAAGAGAAGAAAUCAGGUCUAGGUGAUGCAGAUGCACAAUCCUGGACCAAUUCAAACCCAUAUGGGUAUCUAGAUGGAGAUGAACCAGAUCCAAUUUGGGAUUAAAGCUAGUAGGAUCUUUUAGGAUUUUAUUUACUUCUAUUUUGGGAUUAACAGGUUUCUUUCAUGUUGGGUUUCUUUUAUUAUCUUCUAAAGUGGCUAUGGAAACAUGAAAAUGUUAGAAUGUUCUCAUUGGUAAACACACUUUGAAACUUCAAUAUCAAUUUCUUUUGUUUGCUUGGAUUAGCUGUUGAGGAUAUUUUGUAAAAAAAAAAAUUCAGUGCAAGCGAGAGGGGUUCAUUCAAAAUAUUAAGGAGGAAGAAGGAGAAGGAUGCAACAUCCAUGGAUUCUUGGAAAUUAAUAAAGUGGCAGGAAAUUUCCAUUUUGCUCCAGGGAAAAGCUUUCACCAAUCGAACAUUCAUGUGCAUGAGUUACUGCCAAUUCAAGCAGAGAAUUACAAUGUGAGGAGAUGAUCUGAACUGAGGAAACUUUCUCUGGAAUCUUCAUUGAUGUUCGUCAAAAUAUUCGGUGCUUUUACAUUAAUUUGUGAUAUUGCAACUAUAUGAGGUAGUUAGAAUUCCUUGUUUCUGUGACACAAGAUAAGCCACAAAAUAAACCAUCUAUCCUCUGUUAAAGAGAUUCCUGGUGUUGUCAAUCCCCUUGAUGGGUAAGAAUGAUCUUACUAGUUUAGUUAGCUAAGUUAUUACUGGUUUGUAUAAAGUUUUACUUCAGGCUCUGACUAUUAAGGUCAUGUUAGUUUUGAUCCACUUGUGAAUUUACCUAAUCAUAAUCCUCUUUUACUUUUGCUAAACCUUCCCUGCCCUUCAAAUAUUUUCCUCAUUAUAUAAAAUUCAUUUAUCAUAAAAAGUAAAUUAAAGGUUCUAAUGUGCUUUGUCUUUGUGAGUAUCGUAGCAUAUCAUGGACGCAACAGUUUUGGUCUGGAAUGUACCAAUAUUUCAUUAAGGUUGUACCAACAAUAUACACCAACAGAAAUGGGCGCAGAAUCAAUUCAAACCAGUUCUCUGUGACUGAGCAUUUCCAAAGUGUGGAUGGUUCUACUCAGUCCCUUCCUGGAGUUUUCUUUUUCUAUGACUUUUCCCCAAUAAAGGUGAAUGAAUCCAUAGUUCCCUCCCCCACCCCCCACAACCCACCCCCCC